UACGGGGGGGGCAAGCGUUGUUCGGAAUUACUGGGCGUAAAGGGCUCGUAGGCGGCCCACUAAGUCGAACGUGAAAUCCCCGGGCUCAACCCGGGAACUGCGUCCGAUACUGGAAGGCUUGAAUCCGGGAGAGGGAUGCGGAAUUCCAGGUGUAGCGGUGAAAUGCGUAGAUAUCUGGAGGAACACCGGUGGCGAAGGCGGCAUCCUGGACCGGCAUUGACGCUGAGGCGCGAAAGCCAGGGGAGCAAACGGG
rnacentral:rRNA from 1 species